rnacentral:rRNA from 1 species
CGCGGCCUAUCAGCUUGUUGGUGAGGUAACGGCUCACCAAGGCAUCGACGGGUAGCUGGUCUGAGAGGACGAUCAGCCACACUGGGACUGAGACACGGCCCAGACUCCUACGGGAGGCAGCAGUAGGGAAUCUUGCGCAAUGGGCGAAAGCCUGACGCAGCAACGCCGCGUGAGGGAUGACGGCCUUCGGGUUGUAAACCUCUUUUAGCAGGGAAGAAGCGAAAGUGACGGUACCUGCAGAAAAAGCACCGGCUAACUACGUGCCAGCAGCCGCGGUAAUACGUAGGAUGCGAGCGUUGUCCGGAAUUAUUGGGCGUAAAGAGCUCGUAGGCGGUCUGUCGCGUCUGCUGUGAAAACCCGAGGCUCAACCUCGGGCCUGCAGUGGGUACGGGCAGACUAGAGUGCGGUAGGGGAGAUUGGAAUUCCUGGUGUAGCGGUGGAAUGCGCAGAUAUCAGGAGGAACACCGAUGGCGAAGGCAGAUCUCUGGGCCGUAACUGACGCUGAGGAGCGAAAGCGUGGGGAGCGAACAGGAUUAGAUACCCUGGUAGUCCACGCCGUAAACGUUGGGAACUAGAUGUGGGGUCCAUUCCACGGAUUCCGUGUCGCAGCUAACGCAUUAAGUUCCCCGCCUGGGGAGUACGG